rnacentral:rRNA from 1 species
UACGUAGGGGGCUAGCGUUGUCCGGAAUCAUUGGGCGUAAAGCGCGUGUAGGCGGUCCGGUAAGUCCGCUGUGAAAGUCGGGGGCUCAACCCUCGGAUGCCGGUGGAUACUGUCGGGCUUGAGUGACGGAAGGGGCAACCGGAAUUCCCAGUGUAGACGGUGAAAUGCGUAGAUAUUGGGAAGAACACCUGAGGCGAAGGCGGGUUGCUGGGCUGAUACUGACGCUGAGGCGCGAAAGCCAGGGGAGCAAACGGG